AGUAACGCGUGAGGAACCUGCCUCAAAGAGGGGGACAACAGUGGAAACGACUGCUAAUACCGCAUAAGCCCACGGCUCGGCAUCGAGCAGAGGGAAAAGGAGCAAUCCGCUUUGAGAUGGCCUCGCGUCCGAUUAGCUAGUUGGUGAGGUAAUGGCCCACCAAGGCGACGAUCGGUAGCCGGACUGAGAGGUUGAACGGCCACAUUGGGACUGAGACACGGCCCAG
rnacentral:rRNA from 1 species